rnacentral:tRNA from 2 species
UGCGGGGUGGAGCAGUCUGGUAGCUCGUCGGGCUCAUAACCCGAAGGUCGUAGGUUCAAAUCCUUCCCCCGCUACCA